rnacentral:rRNA from 1 species
UGGGGAAUAUUGGACAAUGGGCGCAAGCCUGAUCCAGCCAUGCCGCGUGAGUGAUGAAGGCCCUAGGGUUGUAAAGCUCUUUCACCGGUGAAGAUAAUGACGGUAACCGGAGAAGAAGCCCCGGCUAACUUCGUGCCAGCAGCCGCGGUAAUACGAAGGGGGCUAGCGUUGUUCGGAUUUACUGGGCGUAAAGCGCACGUAGGCGGACUAUUAAGUCAGGGGUGAAAUCCCGGGGCUCAACCCCGGAACUGCCUUUGAUACUGGUAGUCUUGAGUUCGAGAGAGGUGAGUGGAAUUCCGAGUGUAGAGGUGAAGUUCGUAGAUAUUCGGAGGAACACCAGUGGCGAAGGCGGCUCACUGGCUCGAUACUGACGCUGAGGUGCGAAAGCGUGGGGAGCAAACAGG